UAUAUUUGAUCUUCCAUCAAACAAGAAAAUGAACCCAACACAAUUUUAACUUUGUUAAUUACAAUUAGCAUGGCUAAGAUGUACUUAUCUCACAAGCUCUCUUUCUUCUUUUGUAUUCUCCUUGUUUCACUUGUUGUUAGUUCAUCAUUUUGGUCCUCAAACUCUCAUCAAGUGAUGGCUUUGAGAAACAUACAUUUUGAAGAAGAAAUACAAGUGAUUGAGCAAAUUAUAAAGCCUUUUGUAUCUGCAUGUGGCAAAUCUUGUACAUCUCAUGAAUAUUGCCAAAUUUUUAAACGUUCACUUUGUACACAAUGUCGAAUGAGGACUAAAAAAUCCCGCACAUGGUCAUGCAACCGAUGGAAAUAAUAAUCCGACGACGAUAUAAAAAAAUACUGGAAUUAACUACGAACGAACUUCCUCUAGUUCAUGGAAGAGGCACCAACAACUUGCUAUCAUAUAUCUUUAUGUACUUAAUUAUGUCUUUUUACUUUCUUUUGAUCGAGUUGAGUUUCAUACUAUAGUGUGGUUGAUAUGUUGUUGAAUAACUCGUUGCUAAUGUAUUGGUGUUUAAUUAUAAAAUUUGUCUUUUUUACGUUUUA